AUGAACGCUGGCGGCGUGCCUAAUACUUGCAAGUCGAGCGAACGGACGAGAAGCUUGCUUCUCUGAUGUUAGCGGCGGACGGGUGAGUAACACGUGGAUAACCUACCUAUAAGACUGGGAUAACUUCGGGAAACCGGAGCUAAUACCGGAUGAUAUUUUGAACCGCAUGGUUCAAAAGUGAAAGACGGUCUUGCUGUCACUUAUAGAUGGAUCCGCGCUGCAUUAGCUAGUUGGUAAGGUAACGGCUUACCAAGGCAACGAUGCAUAGCCGACCUGAGAGGGUGAUCGGCCACACUGGAACUGAGACACGGUCCAGACUCCUACGGGAGGCAGCAGUAGGGAAUCUUCCGCAAUGGGCGAAAGCCUGACGGAGCAACGCCGCGUGAGUGAUGAAGGUCUUCGGAUCGUAAAACUCUGUUAUUAGGGAAGAACAUAUGUGUAAGUAACUGUGCACAUCUUGACGGUACCUAAUCAGAAAGCCACGGCUAACUACGUG
rnacentral:rRNA from 1 species